rnacentral:rRNA from 1 species
CACGUAGGGCGCAAGCGUUGUCCGGAAUUAUUGGGCGUAAAGAGCUCGUAGGUGGUUUGUUACGUCUGCUGUGAAAACCUAGGGCUUAACCCUGGGCUUGCAGUGGAUACGGGCAGACUAGAGGUAGGUAGGGGAGAAUGGAAUUCCUGGUGUAGCGGUGAAAUGCGUAGAUAUUGGGAGGAACACCAGUGGCGAAGGCGGCUCACUGGACCGGAACUGACGCUGAGGCGCGAAAGCGUGGGGAGCAAACAGG